GAUGAACGCUGGCGGCGUGCUUAACACAUGCAAGUCGAACGGGAUCCAUCAAGCUUGCUUGGUGGUGAGAGUGGCGAACGGGUGAGUAAUGCGUGACCGACCUGCCCCAUACACCGGAAUAGCUCCUGGAAACGGGUGGUAAUGCCGGAUGCUCCGGCCUGCCGCAUGGUGGGCUGGGAAAGAUUGUAUCGGUAUGGGAUGGGGUCGCGUCCUAUCAGGUAGUCGGCGGGGUAACGGCCCACCGAGCCUACGACGGGUAGCCGGCCUGAGAGGGCGACCGGCCACAUUGGGACUGAGAUACGGCCCAGACUCCUACGGGAGGCAGCAGUGGGGAAUAUUGCACAAUGGGCGCAAGCCUGAUGCAGCGACGCCGCGUGCGGGAUGACGGCCUUCGGGUUGUAAACCGCUUUUGAUCGGGAGCAAGCCUUCGGGUGAGU
rnacentral:rRNA from 1 species